rnacentral:rRNA from 1 species
UCUGCUCAAUGAUUUUUUAAAUUGCUGUGGUAUUUUGACUAUACAAAGGUAUUGUAAUAAGACUUUAAUUGAGUGCUAAGAGAAUGGACUUUCAAAAAAAUUCUUUUUUAAAUUUAAAAAUUAAAGUUAUUUUUAUUUGUGAAGAAACAAUAAUGAAAAUUAUAGACAAGAAGACCCUAUGAAUUUUAACUAAAUUAAACUAAGGCCUUAGUUUAAUUUAGUUUAAUUGGGGCGAUUAAAAAAAAUAAUAAACUUUUUAUAAAAUAAAAUGAUCCAUAAAUUAUGAUUAAAUGUAAUAAAUACUCUAGGGAUAACAGCGUAAUAAUUUUAGAUAGAUCUUAUAGAAAAAAUAGUUUGCGACCUCGAUGUUGGAUUAGGAUACUUUUUUAAUGAAGAAGUUAAAAUAAGAAGUUUGUUCAACUUUUAAAAUCCUACUUGAUCUGA